rnacentral:misc_RNA from 1 species
GAUGAAGAACGCAGUGAAAUGCGAUACGUAAUGUGAAUUGCAGAAUUCAGUGAAUCAUCGAAUCUUUGAACGCACAUUGCGCCUGCCAGCACUCUGGCAGGCAUGCCUGUUCGAGCGUCAUUUCAACCAUCAAGCCCUAGGCUUGCGUUGGAGCCCUGCGGCUGCCGCAGGCCCCUAAAAGCAGUGGCGGGCUCGCUAUCACACCGAGUGCAGUAGAUUACUCUUCGCUCAGGGCGUGUGGCGGGUUCCAGCCGUGAAACCCCCUACUUCUCAAGGUUGACCUCGGAUCAGGUAGGAAUACCCGCUGAACUUAAGCAUAUCAAUAACGGAGGA